CGCUCAUCCAGAGGGGUGGAGGGACCGGCCCUGUGAAGCCCCGGCAACCCUCCCGGUGCUGACGCUCUCGCGACCUGCGAGGCCGGCCGGGACAGGGUGCCAAUUCCGGCCCGCGACCAAGGUGGCGCGGGACAGAUGAGGA
rnacentral:ncRNA from 2 species